rnacentral:rRNA from 1 species
AGUGAACGCUGGCGGUAGGCCUAACACAUGCGAGUCGAACGGCAGCACAGUAAGAGCUUGCUCUUACGGGUGGCGAGUGGCGGACGGGUGAGGAAUACAUCGGAAUCUACUUUUUCGUGGGGGAUAACGUAGGGAAACUUACGCUAAUACCGCAUACGACCUACGGGUGAAAGCAGGGGAUCUUCGGACCUUGCGCGAUUGAAUGAGCCGAUGUCGGAUUAGCUGGUUGGCGGGGUAAAGGCCCACCAAGGCGACGAUCCGUAGCUGGUCUGAGAGGAUGGUCAGCCACACUGGAACUGAGACACGGUCCAGACUCCUACGGGAGGCAGCAGUGGGGAAUAUUGGACAAUGGGCGCAAGCCUGAUCCAGCCAUACCGCGUGGGUGAAGAAGGCCUUCGGGUUGUAAAGCCCUUUUGUUGGGAAAGAAAAGCAGCAGGUUAAUACCCCGCUGUUCUGACGGUACCCAAAGAAUAAGCACCGGCUAACUUCGUG